CAUUUUGAUCGAUUACAGAGCCUGUGAUUGAAGGAGAGAGAAGGGGGAUGACUCAUUUUAUCCGGAAGAGUCUAAACUACAGGGUGGGAUGCAUUUUGAAGAAUGGACCCUUACAUUGAAAUGUAUGCUGUUGUUUCUUGGAUUCGUCCGAACUGAUCUGAACCAUACGAGAUGAAAGAUGAGUAUAGCGGUUCAUUUUACUCAUUUUCAAAUGAGAGGUCCUUUUGCAUUUAAUUUAACCCUUUCCUCUCUGUUGUAUUGAUUGCAAAAACAAGUUUAGAACAUGAUUCUGGAGUGUUUUAGCUUUCAAAUGAUGCAUAGUUUAUGAUAGUCAGUUGAAUAUUUGUUAUAAAACAAAGCUUAAAAAAGUGAUAAAAGUUUAGCCACGCCCUCGACGGCCCGUCAUCGGGCCGGUGCUUGAUAAGAGGUUA